GACGAACGCUGGCGGCGUGCCUAAUACAUGCAGGUAGAACGCACAGUUUAUACCGUAGCUUGCUACACCAUAGACUGUGAGUUGCGAACGGGUGAGUAACGCGUAGGUAACCUGCCUGGUAGCGGGGGAUAACUAUUGGAAACGAUAGCUAAUACCGCAUAAUAUUAAUUAUUGCAUGAUAAUUAAUUGAAAGGUGCAAUUGCACCACUACCAGAUGGACCUGCGUUGUAUUAGCUAGUAGGUGAGGUAACGGCUCACCUAGGCGACGAUACAUAGCCGACCUGAGAGGGUGAUCGGCCACACUGGGACUGAGACACGGCCCAGACUCCUACGGGAGGCAGCAGUAGGGAAUCUUCGGCAAUGGACGAAAGUCUGACCGAGCAACGCCGCGUGAGUGAAGAAGGUUUUCGGAUCGUAAAGCUCUGUUGUAAGAGAAGAACGGGUGUGAGAGUGGAAAGUUCACACUGUGACGGUAGCUUACCAGAAAGGGACGGCUAACUACGUG
rnacentral:rRNA from 1 species